UCUAGAAGUCUCCAUAUGUCUUCUGUGAGAAAAUAAAUAGAUCCCCUUUCUCUGCUCUAUCGUUAUAGCCCCUCAAGCUGGCUGUACCAAAUCGAAUGGCAUGCUCCUGGAUCAUCAAAGCUACGAAGGAGAUGCUCUUGGAGGUCAAGUCUGGCGGAAACGGAGAUGUGUGUUGGAGCCGUAGAUCUUGCGUCGCCUACCAACAAGGCCGCAUCUCAUUAUUUCUGCUUUGUAGAGGCAGAUCAGUCGCCGGGUAGGCCACCGGAGAUUAUGAGAGGUACUGCUUGCUGCUAGGUUCUCCGAGAGUGUUCUGCUUCCUGUUCGUGGCUCUGGGACAGAGAGCCGUGUCGUUGGGUUGAACGACCGUCUUCUCCGUAGCAUUCCACGUCUGAGGCGGAGCAGUAAGGACAGAGUCUGUAGGCAAAGGCGGGUUUUGGGCUUCCUCACUGCUGGUGCCAUCGCCUUUCACCCAUUAAUUUGCUACAACUUUGUAUCAUUUCUAAUUCGUCGAGAGUGGCUUAUUCUUGACACGUAAGUUUCCCCAUUGUAGGUGGUUUAAUGGUAUUUUUUUGUUGCUAACAUAUAUUAGCAAGUUAUAUUACCUAUAUGUGUAUUUAGGACAAAGCAAGAAGGAUUAAACGUAUUAACUGAAAUUUGGUUCAUAUAUCUUAAUCGACAUGCAAUGGAUUUUUUGUCUAUGCUAUAGGCGAUGCCUGCAAUAUUGCAGUUUUUCCUCACAAUCAUGGCUUUCUUGAACGAAACAAGCCAUAGGCUAGAAUAGUUGUUACCAAGAAUAUAAAAUUCACCAAAAGUGCAUGUCCGAAUGUAUUUAAAAUAAUUAUAAUGUAAUAUGUUUUUGAUAGUGCUAAUAUUUGACCUUUGUUAUCUGGUAAGUGUCCUCGUUAUAUUGAUGGAUGUCAAGUAUUCUUACUAUUAUCUUAGUAUAAAUAUAAAUAGUUUGCCUAACUUUCAACAUAAUUAUUGUAUAAUUUUUGUGCUUCCCACCCAAUGAGCUCUGCAAUUUUGAGACCGAUAUAUUAAGAUUUUUUUCGGUCUCCUCGUAAAAUCAAGUGCAGCUUAUAGUAGUUGUACCGUAAUUAAUUUGGCAUCUUUUCAUUGCAAAGUAAACAUAAUCGGGAAGUUACUGUUCAAAUUAGCAGAAUAUAUGCUUACCGAGGUGUUACAAUUUCUGUAUAUAUACCACAACUCUUGUCAAUUUCCUUUGUACCUGCUUUCUGAGAUCACCACAUGACAUAUACCACCAUCUUCUUGUAACCGAUAUAUUGAAGGUAGCUCAAAGUUAGCAACCCUAAAAAAACAAUCUCAAAACUCAAAGUUAGCAAUCUAAAAAAGUUGAGAGACGUAAAUAAAUCAAAUAUGGUCCAUUCUAGCUGAUAUGACUCCAUUAUCGCUGCAGGUUUUGGAGUCUUGUUUUCCUUGGAAGUGGUCAUAUCAUAUCUUAGAAGUCUGAUAUAGUACCUGAUUUGCCUAAUUUUUGUGCCUCAUUCUAGUAAUUUCUUGUAAUGUUCUUGUUUUGUAAAACAUUUUUUCUUCUAGUGUUCCUUUCAUAGUUCUAUGUAUCUUGAUCAUUUUUAUUAAGUUUCUUCUCCACACAUAUGGAGUUAGUCAAGUAUAGUAAUAUUGGUUAACAAACAGAGUCACUAUUCAUUAGUUGAUAACUAAUAACUGAUAAAAGAUACUGUUCCAUACCUGCCAAGAAGUUCCUGGGCUUCGAUUAUAUCUAGACCUAUAUAAUUCUUGUGGAAUUGGUAAUCAAUGGUAAAUGUCUUAGGUAUUUUCCCUGCAAAUAACAAAAUAUCUUGUAACAUUACUGGAUUGAACUUUUGCACCAUCAAAGUCACAAUAGGGACAGUUUAGCGCGGAUUAAACCCUCACUCAAAAAAUAAGGAAACUUUGUCCAUAACGUAACUCCUAUUUUUAUCACCCCUAAAGAGUUCUUUUUUUUUAUUUAUUCCACAUGCUUCAUUUGGAUGAUUAAUCUCACAAUAAAUUUGGAGAUUAAUUGCUUCACAGUUAGAAAGAUUAAAUAGAUAAGAGUCUUAUUUCAAACUACAGAGUAUAGAGUAUAGACAUACCCAAGCAUUGUUUAUUUUAUCUACCCGUUAUUGUACUUAAUCCAUACCAAUGAUUAAAAAAGGAAAAACCCAGUACAUAGAAGCUCCCACACAAGGUGGGGUCUGGGGAGGGAUUAUAGGAACCUAGUCUUACCCCUGCAAAGUGCAAUGCAGAGAGGCUGGUUCGAACCCAGGACCUCUUGGCACAAGUGGGGAGGACUUCACCAACCAAUGAUUAUAAUUAUAAUUUAACCUCUACAGGUAGUAGCACAAACUCGGUUGGGCCUGUCAAAACAAUAAAAUAUAAUUAGGGAUUGUUGUCCAAAAAAUAGAGAAAUCUGUAACAUGUAAUGCAUUUUUUUGUCCAUCAAAAAUAUAUUGAGGCUAAUAAGCUCAUCAGCAAUUGUCAUUAAGUCAGUAAGCUUCUUCUAUGCCAUAUUUUGUUGGGUUUAAUAGGAGUUGAAAACAACUGAUAAAGUACCUAUGAAGAUUUUAUGCUGAUAAGUGAAUUUAGUAAUAGUAGUAUUUACUAACCUUGACGAUUCAGGUUAGAGACAACUCAGAAGGUUGGGCCUGACUUUGUCAACACUCGAGCUGAACCUGACAUUGAAGCUUGGCUAAUUUUCUUGUUUUUCCGUCGUUGAAUCACUGCAUGCAUCAGAUAAUCAGCAGACUUCGAUUUUGCUGGUGGCGCAUUGGUUCACAGCAGAUUCGGCUGACUUAAUUUUCCAAAAAAUAUUGAUCCUACAUCUUGGCCUGCCCUGCGUGUGCUGGAUGUGGCCGGUCGAGUGCCUUUAUAUUUUUCAUUGGCUUGGCGGAGUCCAUGUGGAGUUUUUUUUCAGAGGCGUCUGGGCUCUUACUGAUUAAUCUGUGUGGAGUUUUGCUUGCCUUAUUUGCACGCACCAGUUUGUGGUUGUGUCGGGCACAUUGAUGGAGACGUGCUAGAUUUUUCUUUUUGAGGUUUGGAGACGUGCUAGAUGACAGGCGUGUCAGGCAACUAUUUGUACCCCAUAAUAGUUAUAUGUAACUUCUGUAUAUUUUUAAAUCUCAGCCGUUGUUAUCAAAUAUUGAUGAUGCACAUAAUUUGAUCUA